rnacentral:lncRNA from 1 species
UGCAAGCUAACGGCGCCGAUAGAGCGAAGCCAAGCCAAGACCAAAGUUAAGAAGAGUCCGUACGGCUCACGUAACGCAUCAGUCGGCAGCCGGCGCAUCACUGCCGUUCAUCAAGAAUUCAUUCCCAAACAUCGACGCAAACCCACUUACGUAGACUCACUACCCUUUCUCUUUUUUGCCCUUUCUUGCCUAUUCAAUGCGAUUUGGACAACCAACAAAC